rnacentral:lncRNA from 1 species
UUGAAGUGGCCUUUUCUUUAAGGAUCAUGUCCACGUAACCUGUAUUCUUGCUGCUUUAACUCAUUUCAAGCCUCUGACUGCAGGUCCAUUUCAUCUCCUGUCAGGUUGGUUAAGUAAAGUCAGCCCAAAGUCAAGAAUUACUUAAAGAGAUGCAAACCAAAUAUUUGGGCUCCAACUUUCACAGGGCUUAUAGCCCUUAUUAGCAGUUUGUGAAACUUUGGGUUUCAUGAAGUGAGACCUGUCCUCUGGCUACUGAACUCCAUGGAGCCACGUUCAUGCUCCCUCUUCUACUGGCCUGGCUGCUCCUCCCUCAAUGAGGAGAGGCAGCUGGCUCAGAGAGGUGGGACAGACACAUGCUGUCAUCAGUUAAGUGAGCUCUUUUCCAGAAGUAUCUCAGAUAAUGUUGGGUUAAGACAGAUAGAUGUUGAAAAUGGUGGAGAUCAUUACACAUUAGCAUAAAACAGGACAGGAAGAGAUUUUUUGAAAGACCAAAUUAGUUGAGCAAGUAAUACUUUUCAAGUUACUCCUGGAAGGUGUUUUUAAGGAAGUGUGUUACCUACCAUACUCUCCUAAUUUGACAUUUCUGUGUCCUGAGGAGUUACAUUUAUUGUCUAACCCUUGCCAUAAGGCUGUGGUUUGAGGUUCUUUUGCUGUUCUGGGCUUUAUAUUUAAUUUCAGGUGUAGUCACUUCUAAGAUGUGUAAUUGCCCUCAAGAGGGACUGAUUUUUAGCUUGUCAUUGUCAGUAUUGAAUGUGGACUCUUCUGAGGCAGUUAGGACACCAGCCAUGGUGUUAACAGUGGAUGCGUUAGGCUCCUUAAUCUCAAGGCAAUAUCCACGCUACACACAUACUUAUUAGCUGUCUUACUUGUUUGGGGGAUAGUUACGGCAAGGAGCAAAAAAUUCUAAGGACUCUAGCUGUUUCUAGUGCUUUUACUUUCAUAGUCCUUUGAGGACAUUUCCUGCAGAGCACUCUUGCUCACAGCCCGCCCUCUGCAGGGCUUCCAGCCCCUGGCCGCAAUCAGCAGUUCAUGCCACAUGUGUACAUCCAUGUUCUGGGACCUGAUCUCAUUGGAGUCCAGAAGCUUGUUGCCCACUUUCCAGUGUAAAUGACUUUAUGUGCAAUGGGGUCAUAGGUAACAUUUUAACUCUUUUCUUAGUCCAGGUCAUAGGAAGUCUCAUCAUCUGACAGCCACUUUUCUCCCAGGGAAGGCGGUGCCCACUGGGCCCUGGGAAUGCCUGAGCCAGCAGAGCAGAUGCCCCACGUGCUUCCUUUAUCCAGCUUCCAUUCUCUCAGUUAUGAGGCUCUUUGAAAAUGUCUUAACUUUGAUGUAAAUUUUUAAAGCCAACCCCUCAUCAAGACAGGGUUGGUUUGGGUCUUUUGUACACAGGGUCUGGACCUUCUCAUUGUGUGCCUCCCACCAGCGUGCACUUCGUAUGUCCAGCCCUGGGUCCCUUCAGCAGCAUUGUGCGUGUACAGGUUUCUAGGCUGUAAGACUGAAUGAAUGUACAUGUGUUUAUAUCCUCUCCAUAUGUACAGUGUAUAUAGUGUGUGUAUGUGUACAUAGAUGUAUAUUAUGUAUACAGACAUGUAUCCAAACUUUCCUUUAAAGAGAGUUUUUCAUAAAGUUGCUAAUGUAAACUGAUAUGGGUGUUCCAAGGUCCCUCGGCAGGGAAGAUUUGCUGGUGAUUUUCUUCACUCCAUUUUCCUUUGGGUGAGCCUGCCUGGGAAGGGCCAUGAAGUCAGAAUCUCCACUCUGCAAAAGGAAGAAUUCCAGGCAGAAGAGGUUCUGACAGGGUGACAUUUCCGUAUAUUCUCUAGGUUCGGACAAGAGCCAGGAAGCUGGAAGACAGUUUAUCUUAAUAUCCAAAACUAAGUGGGAAUUUUUAACCUUUUCAUGCACCUAUUCAUGGCCCUACCUGGAAGGAACUUGGCAGUUGGGUUGAGCCAUCAGCCUUCCCAGCUAUUCAGCUCUGUUGAGUAGCCCAGAGACAGGCGUCACGGUCAGAGAUUCAGAACGGUCUGUGUCAGUGAGGCCUGACUCCCAAAGAUGGUAGCAAUUUCCCAGGCUUGCGCUGUGCUCAGUCAGCAAGAUGUGGGGCACUGUCCUAUGACUGAAUAAAUAGUAAUUCCCAUCUUUCUAUCGCCAGUUAAAAAUAAACAACCUACCAAGUAUUAUUCUUUAAAACUAAGCAUGGAUGUUGAUGGCUAACUUCUGCGGCAUAUAAGCUACAGAUCUCAAGUUACUUCUCUAACUGUAAGCAUGUAAAUGACUUUAACUCCUUUCUAUAAGUUAUGAUUUUAAAUUUUCAGAUAAGAAUUGCAUUUUAAUAUGGAUAUGUGUGCCCUUAAAAGCUACAGAUACCAAAUUUUCCUCGUCCAGGUCUACUCGGACGAAUUUUCCCCCUUAAUCUGGCCUUAAACUGAGACUCGGCCCUUGAGAGCCAGGGCCUGGCCCAGCAGUAGUUGCUCAUAGACCUGGGAAGCAGGGGCCUGCUGGAAGGAAUCACUAGAUUGCUGCAAAAACUCACAUAAUCCACAGUUUCCUCUUUUUCUUUUUAAAAUAAGUUAUCAAAAUGUUUUAAAAACACUUUAUGAGACCAUAGUACUCAGUGCCUUUUGUGAGACAGUGGGUCAUUUAGCCUUCAGCUUCCCUGUUUUUGAUGUAGAGAAAGCUUCUAUUUCACUGGCCUCAUCCCACAAGAUUGUGCGACCUUUCCCCGUCAUAGCCUGUCGUGACAAUCACGCUAUUGAAAGUGGCUUUCUAGUUAAAAUGCAAUUGGAAACUUGACAGUCUCUAAAUGAAUUAAAAGUUUCCUUUGGGGCUAUUUAGCUUAACAGCAGUCUACAAAUAAUUAAAGUGUGAGCUUAAGAAAAGUAUCUUUGCGGGGAGAAAAAUGUCAGAUAUUUUUAAUGCCCAGCUAUAAAUAAUUUUGGUGUCUUGAUAUUUAUACAUGCAAAAUAGAAAAAAAAUGUUCAACAUUUAUUGAUUGAUAGACUGUUAAAAUUUAAUGUUUGGAAUAACAUUUGGAAGUAGUAGACUUUGCAUUAAAAAAUGGCUUUUCUUUAGGAAAGUAUAAUCAAUUAUUUUAAUGACCAUAGCAUUCAUGGACUCAAAUGCUGCUGCCACACACAACUCAAGUGCUGGAAUAUUUUUCUACAGUCUCUCUGUUCUACGGAUUAUCUUGUAAACCAGUGUUCAACUAGUUUUAUAACUGAAAAGCUGCACAUUUUUCACAGUACAAGCCGUAGUUUUUACCUGUAGUUUGGACUUCUCUGUUAGAAUGUAACUGCAUUACCAGCCCUUUUAAAGGCAUCUAUCUAUCAAAGGAAAAUUUGGGUGUUAGAUUUUCUUGGGACCGUUUCUGUAACCUUUGCCCUUCACAAUAUAGAAAAUAUUGGUUUUGCCAUUACAUUUUAAUGCCAGGUUUAAAACCUGUUGAAAGCUGCAGCUUUAUACAGCUUUCUUCUCCCUGUGAAAUCACUUUGUUUAUGUGAUGGCAUUUAAAAAAUAGCAUGUUCUUUUUAAACUGAAUUUUAUAUCUAAUCAAUGUCUUCAGUCUUGAAGAAGAAUUUGCAUUGUUGUGUUUGUAUAUAGAGUAUUGCAGUGCAUGAAUUAGCUUUAUGCAUUUUAUUAAAUGCUGUUUCAAUGUGGCAUUAUUGUUGUGGCUUAAUACUACUACCUAAAUGAGGUUUAUACUAUUAAAAGUGAAUUAAAGACU